GGUUUAAUUCGAUGAUACGCGAGGAACCUUACCCGGGCUUGAAUUGCAGAGGAAGGAUUGGAGACAAUGACGCCCUUCGGGGCCUCUGUGAAGGUGCUGCAUGGUUGUCGUCAGCUCGUGCCGUGAGGUGUCGGCUUAAGUGCCAUAACGAGCGCAACCCCUCUCCUUAGUUGCCAUCAGGUCAGGCUGGGCACUCUGGGGACACUGCCACCGUAAGGUGUGA
rnacentral:rRNA from 1 species